CCGAGGAAAAGAAAUCAACCGAGAUUCCCCCAGUAGCGGCGAGCGAACGGGGAGCAGCCCAGAGUCUGAAUCAGCUUGUGUGUUAGUGGAACGGUCUGGAAAGUCCGACGGUACAGGGUGAUAGUCCCGUACACCAAAAUGCACAGGCUGUGAACUCGAAGAGUAGGGCGGGACACGUGGUAUCCUGUCUGAAUAUGGGGGGACCAUCCUCCAAGGCUAAAUACUCCUGACUGACCGAUAGUGAACCAGUACCGUGAGGGAAAGGCGAAAAGAACCCCGGCGAGGGGAGUGAAAAAGAACCUGAAACCGUGUACGUACAAGCAGUGGGAGCACCUUCGGGUGUGACUGCGUACCUUUUGUAUAAUGGGUCAGCGACUUAUAUUCUGUAGCAAGGUUAACCGUAUAGGGGAGCCGCAGGGAAACCGAGUCUUAACUGGGCGUUAAGUUGCAGGGUAUAGACCCGAAACCCGGUGAUCUAGCCAUGGGCAGGUUGAAGGUUGGGUAACACUAACUGGAGGACCGAACCGACUAAUGUUGAAAAAUUAGCGGAUGACUUGUGGCUGGGGGUGAAAGGCCAAUCAAACCGGGAGAUAGCUGGUUCUCCCCGAAAGCUAUUUAGGUAGCGCCUCGUGAACUCAUCUUCGGGGGUAGAGCACUGUUUCGGCUAGGGGGUCAUCCCGACUUACCAACCCGAUGCAAACUACGAAUACCGAAGAAUGUUAUCACGGGAGACACACGGCGGGUGCUAACGUCCGUCGUGAAGAGGGAAACAACCCAGACCGCCAGCUAAGGUCCCAAAGUCAUGGUUAAGUGGGAAACGAUGUGGGAAGGCACAGA
rnacentral:rRNA from 1 species